GACGUAGGGUGCGAGCGUUGUCCGGAUUUACUGGGCGUAAAGGGCGCGUAGGCGGUCUGUUAAGUGUGAAGUGAAAUCUCCAUCGCUCAACGAGGAAAUUGCUUCGCAUACUGGCAGACUGGAGGGAUGCAGAGGUGAAUAGAAUUCCUGGUGUACCGGUGACAUGGAUUGAUAUCAGGAGGAAUACCCAAGGCGAAGGCAGUUCACUGGGCAUCAUCUGACGCUGAGGCGCGAAAGCGUGGGGAGCAAACAGG
rnacentral:rRNA from 1 species